CCAACGCCGUCUGGAGAGCCGUCACGCGUGUGACGCACCGAAGGAGCAAGGCCCGGGUCCACGCCCGCGGCUGAAUCUCUCAGGUACCAAGGACAGGGGGAGCGGC
rnacentral:ncRNA from 2 species